GAUGAACGCUGGCGGCGUGCUUAACACAUGCAAGUCGAACGGAAAGGCUCCUGCUUGCAGGGGUACUCGAGUGGCGAACGGGUGAGUAACACGUGGGUGAUCUGCCCUGCACUUCGGGAUAAGCCUGGGAAACUGGGUCUAAUACCGGAUAGGACGAUGGUUUGGAUGCCAUUGUGGAAAGUUUUUCGGUGUGGGAUGAGCUCGCGGCCUAUCAGCUUGUUGGUGGGGUAAUGGCCUACCAAGGCGUCGACGGGUAGCCGGCCUGAGAGGUUGUACGGCCUCAUUGGGACUGAGAGUCGGCACGGAAGCGUACGGGGGGCAGCAGUGGAAGAUAUUGCACAAUGGGCGCGAGCCUGAUGCAGCAAGGCCGCGGGGGGGAUGACGGCCUUCGGGUUGUAAACCCCUUUCGCUAAGGACGAAGCGCGAGUGACGGUACCUGGAGAGAAAGCACCGGCUAACUACGUG
rnacentral:rRNA from 1 species